rnacentral:rRNA from 1 species
UGGCGGACGGGUGAGUAAUGUCUGGGAAACUGCCUGAUGGAGGGGGAUAACUACUGGAAACGGUAGCUAAUACCACAUAACGUCGCAAGACCAAAGAGGGGGACCUUCGGGCCUCUUGCCAUCGGAUGUGCCCAGAUGGGAUUAGCUAGUAGGUGGGGUAACGGCUCACCUAGGCGACGAUCCCUAGCUGGUCUGAGAGGAUGACCAGCCACACUGGAACUGAGACACGGUCCAG